GCGGCGUGCCUAAUACAUGCAAGUCGAGCGAACAGACGAGGAGCUUGCUCCUCUGACGUUAGCGGCGGACGGGUGAGUAACACGUGGAUAACCUACCUAUAAGACUGGGAUGACUUCGGGAAACCGGAGCUAAUACCGGAUAAUAUAUUGAACCGCAUGGUUCAAUAGUGAAAGACGGUUUUGCUGUCACUUAUAGAUGGAUCCGCGCCGCAUUAGCUAGUUGGUAAGGUAACGGCUUACCAAGGCAACGAUGCGUAGCCGACCUGAGAGGGUGAUCGGCCACACUGGAACUGAGACACGGUCCAGACUCCUACGGGAGGCAGCAGUAGGGAAUCUUCCGCAAUGGGCGAAAGCCUGACGGAGCAACGCCGCGUGAGUGAUGAAGGUCUUCGGAUCGUAAAACUCUGUUAUUAGGGAAGAACAAAUGUGUAAGUAACUAUGCACGUCUUGACGGUACCUAAUCAGAAAGCCACGGCUAACUACGUGCCAGCAGCCGCGGUAAUACGUAGGUGGCAAGCGUUAUCCGGAAUUAUUGGGCGUAAAGCGCGCGUAGGCGGUUUUUUAAGUCUGAUGUGAAAGCCCACGGCUCAACCGUGGAGGGUCAUUGGAAACUGGAAAACUUGAGUGCAGAAGAGGAAAGUGGAAUUCCAUGUGUAGCGGUGAAAUGCGCAGAGAUAUGGAGGAACACCAGUGGCGAAGGCGACUUUCUGGUCUGUAACUGACGCUGAUGUGCGAAAGCGUGGGGAUCAAACAGGAUUAGAUACCCUGGUAGUCCACGCCGUAAACGAUGAGUGCUAAGUGUUAGGGGGUUUCCGCCCCUUAGUGCUGCAGCUAACGCAUUAAGCACUCCGCCUGGGGAGUACG
rnacentral:rRNA from 1 species